AUGGUCCAGGGUCGCGCGCCUCCUCGGCCACAAGGCUCCGCACGCGCAAUCGGCUCCGCACGGGCGGAUGAAAUCUCGCCUCCGCGGCUCCAAAGCUCGGCGCUCGGCGAGGGGGACACGGUGAGGAGGACAGGGAUGGGGUGCCUGUUCGACUACUUCCGCAAAGACAGCGGCGAGCCGCGCGCCGGCCGUGCCCGCGCCCCGCUCGUCUCUUCCUCCGUCAUCCCCAGCCCCAAGGUUGGCAGCGAGAGGAGGGCGCCGCCGUCCAGGAACGCGCUGUCGGCCGUGUUCCUGCGCGAAGAUGAGGGAUCGCAGGCCACGAGCUCAGGGUCGGACCGGGACACGGGGAGCAAGAGGGUGGAUCUGGAGCUCAUGCACGAGGAGGAAGGCAAGUUGUCGCACCUAGAGAACUUGCCCAUCAGAGGGAGCAAUGAAGACAUUGUUAGGACAGUACCAGAUGUGCUCCUACGUGUUGAACAAUGUUAUGUAGUAGUGAGAUAA
rnacentral:rRNA from 1 species